GACGAACGCUGGCGGCGUGCUUAACACAUGCAAGUCGAACGAAGUGGGAACGGGUGAGUAAUACGUGAGUAACCUCCCUCCUUUUUGGGAUAAGCCUUGGAAACGGGGUCUAAACCGAAUAGAUGGGCUCGCGGGCUAUGAGCUUGUUGGUGGGGUGAUGGCCUACCAAGGCGGUGAGCGGUAGCCGGCCUGAGAGGGUGACCGGCCACAUUGGGACUGAGACACGGCCCAGACUCCUACGGGAGGCAGCAGUAGGGAAUCUUCGGCAAUGGACGAAAGUCUGACCGAGCAACGCCGCGUGAGUGAAGAAGGUUUUCGGAUCGUAAAACUCUUUAAGUUGAGAAGCGUUACCAACAGAAUAAGCACCGGCUAACUUCGUGCCAGCAGCCGCGGUAAUUC
rnacentral:rRNA from 1 species